UCAGUCGUAUUGUUAUGUAAUUUUCAUGAAGGCAUAUUUUUUAUCCAAAAUGAAAAUGACAUUUUUUGCUCAAUAAAUUAAGUCCGGGAGGAUAUAUUAUGCUGAACUAUUGUUUGUAGGCAUCGUAUGUGCAUACCUUACUUGAGAUCGCAAAUUACUUAUUUAAAAAAAAGAUACAAAUGACCCAUACGACAGGUUCUUGAACAAUCCAAGACCACGUUUACCGUAUCGAGCAAGGCCUCAAAGCCAGGCAAUUGAAUACGAACACAAGCGACAAAUGUACGAUGUCCCUAAGUUUGACGAGCCUUUGGCGGAACCAGUCUAUAGAGUUACGGUGAUAUACGAAGAUCCCCGACCAAUCACAAUCGAGAGGCCAUACAUAGUUCUGACUGAACCCUGGUUGGAAGAUCUCCAUGACAGAUAUGCAGCUCAGGAACUGCCAAAUGCGACGUCAUACAGAGGAUUCAGUAAUGACGACGAGGAACUGCCGGUACAUCCAAUUUUUAAGCGCAAAAAUAGCGGUGAACCGGUAAUGGUCGAUGAUUUGCCCGGAUAUAUAAUCAGAACCGGCCAUUACGUUGCGAUGCAUCUCGAUCAGAAGUCAGAAUAUUUAACUGGUCGAAAUCAAUAUAGAAGGUCCAAUCUCACACAGUGGAAACGAGAACACCUGGACCACGUGCUCUACCAUGGUAACAACCGAGUCACCGAAAUCUACGGAGAUUCACGAACGGGAGGGAUUACGACUCAUGUAUACCGGUAGCUGGUAUAGCGGACAUGCUUUCGACCUCGAACAAACGGCUACGAGUACGGUUAAAUUUAAUACCAACAUGUAUAACACCAACAACAA